rnacentral:rRNA from 1 species
AUUGAACGCUGGCGGCAUGCCUUACACAUGCAAGUCGAACGGCAGCACGGGAGCAAUCCUGGUGGCGAGUGGCGAACGGGUGAGUAAUAUAUCGGAACGUGCCCAGUCGUGGGGAUAACGUAGCGAAAGCUACGCUAAUACCGCAUACGAUCUAUGGAUGAAAGCGGGGAAUCGCAAGACCUCGCGCGAUUGGAGCGGCCGAUAUCAGAUUAGGUAGUUGGUGAGGUAAAGGCUCACCAAGCCGACGAUCUGUAGCUGGUCUGAGAGGACGACCAGCCACACUGGGACUGAGACACGGCCCAGACUCCUACGGGAGGCAGCAGUGGGGAAUUUUGGACAAUGGGCGCAAGCCUGAUCCAGCAAUGCCGCGUGCAGGAUGAA